rnacentral:rRNA from 1 species
GUCUCCGGCCACACCACCCUGACCGCGCCCGAUCUUCUCUGAUCUUGGAAGCAAAGCAGGGUCAGGCCUGGCUAGUACUUGGAUGGGAGAAGGCGCAAGAGGAUCGAGUGUUCAGGGCA